rnacentral:tRNA from 1 species
ACCUGAGUGGCUCAGUCGGUUGAGCGUCCGACUUUGGCUCAGGCCGUGAUCUUAUGGUCUGUGAGUUCGAACCCCACUUUGGGCU